CUACGGCCAUAUCACGUUGAAAUACAGGUCCUCGUUCGAUCACCGAGGUUAAACAUCGUCGAGCCUGUUCACUACUUAGAUGAGUGACUACCCGAGAACAUGAGUGGCUGUAAG